rnacentral:rRNA from 1 species
AAUCAAGCGCGAGAAGGGCGUUUGGUGGAUGCCUUGGCAGCAAGAGGCGAUGAAGGACGUGAUACUCUGCGAUAAGCCAUGUGGAGCCGAGAAUAGGCUUUGAUACAUGGAUCUCCGAAUGGGGCAACCCACCUGACAGUUUGUUAUAAUUACCGCAAGGUAGCUUAUAACGGGCUGAAACAGGUACUUCUUACCUGAAUACAUAGGGUUUGAAGAGCAAACCCGGGGAACUGAAACAUCUAAGUACCCGGAGGAAAGGAAAUCAAUUGAUACUCCCCUAGUAGCGGCGAGCGAACGGGGACCAGCCGAGCCAGAUGAGUGAUCAGAAUGUGUUGGGAAGCACAGCCAUAGUGGGUGACAGCCCCGUAUGAGAAGCUCUGAUGGACGUAUUAAGUAGGGCGGGACACGUGAAAUCCUGUCUGAAGAUCGGAGGACCACCUUCGAAGGCUAAGUACUCCUUGCUGACCGAUAGCGAACCAGUACCGUGAGGGAAAGGUGAAAAGCACCCCGACGAGGGGAGUGAAACAGUACCUGAAACCGAACGCCUACAAUCAGUCGGAGGGACCUCGAGUCCUGACGGCGUACCUUUUGUAUAAUGGGUCAUCGACUUGGUCUAUCUAGCAAGCUUAAGCCGUUAGGUGUAGGCGCAGCGAAAGCGAGUCUUAAUAGGGCGUCGAGUUAGAUGGAUCAGACCCGAAACCGAGUGAUCUAGGCAUGACCAGGAUGAAGGUAAGGUAACACUUACUGGAGGUCCGAACCCACACCUGUUGAAAAAGGUCGGGAUGAGUUGUGCCUAGGGGUGAAAGGCCAAUCAAACUCGGAGAUAGCUGGUUCUCCGCGAAAUCUAUUUAGGUAGAGCGUCAUCCGAAUACCCCGGGGG